UACGAAGGGGGCUAGCGUUGCUCGGAAUCACUGGGCGUAAAGGGCGCGUUAGGCGGGCGUUUUUAAGUCGGGGGUGAAAGCCUGUGGCUCAACCACAGAAUGGCCUUCGAUACUGGGACGCUUGAGUAUGGUAGAGGUUGGUGGAACUGCGAGUGUAGAGGUGAAAUUCGUAGAUAUUCGCAAGAACACCGGUGGCGAAGGCGGCCAACUGGACCAUUACUGGACGCUGAGGCGCGAAAGCGUGGGGAGCAAACAGG
rnacentral:rRNA from 1 species